AUGACCUACCAUUCUGAGGAGUUGAGCAGCAGUGCAGUACCGCAGAGCCAAUCUGGGCUGUGUUCCCUCAUGGCCCCUGGACAACUGAUAGAGUGGAGGAUGCAGAGGAUUUGGACGAUGACGUUUUGGAGCCACCCCUCCCCAGCAAGCGCCCCCGCUGGUCAAGGUCUUCACCCCUCACUGCUAUGUCAAUCAUCCCGUCUGAUGGCUCUACAUCCACCACUCGACAAAGACCCCACUCCUCUUCAACCACCCCCUCUGCAGGCCCUGGCACCACUCCCCUCUCUGCAAGAUCAUAUGGAGGUGCGGGGGCAGGGAGGAGAUCUAGGCCUCAACAGAGAAGAGGGAGAGGCAGUGGGAAGCAGCACAACAGAGGGAGAUGAAACUGAUGACAGGUGGCAUACAUUCCUUGAAGAUGAUGAGGAGCCAUAACAAUUUAUGUUUAAACCCAAAUGACCUGAAGGCCUAGUUGGUUAGUGAUGAAACAUACACCCCCUUACAGCUGUUUCUCCUCUACUUUACCACCUCUGUACUAGGAACACAAAUUAGUAAUACCAACAAGUAUGGGGACAAGAAGCAUCAGGGGGGAAGGAAGAUGUCCUGGAAACCUGUCACCAUGGGUGACAUGCUCAACUACAUUUCCUUGGUGAUUUACAUGGGACUGGUAAAGGUAUCAAGACUAGUUGACAACUGGAUCAAGUCCCCACUCUAUCGGUUCCAGUUCCCCACCUCCAUCAUGAGUGAAAACCGAUUAUUGGCCAUCAACCGUACUCUUCACAUGAGUGACACUCAAAAGGAUCAGGAGAAUGACCAGAAGAAGGGGACUGCUUAAAAUCUAUCUAUCACACCCACUGGUAUGGGCCUUAGUUAUCUCUGUCAUGCAGCUGAUGGACUUGCCCUUACUUGGAAGUAGGUACAAGCUCUUUGUGGACAAUUUUUAUACUCCUCCCAUGCUUUUAAUAGACCUCUUGAAAAAGAAAAUAGGGGCUUGUGGCACCAUUCGUCCUAACAGAACCGGUUUCCCCAAGACCAAGGUAAACAACAUGACACAGACAUCGGAGAGGGGGACCAUACGUUGGAUCAGGACUGACAAGCUGCUUUUUGUGAAAUGGAAUACUUUUUUUCUUUAACCAUUUUGUGGACAUUGCUACAGCAAAUUCAGUAGGGCUCCUGAGUGGCGCAGUGGUCUAAGGCAUUGCAUCUCAGUGCUAGAGGCAUCACUACAGACACCCUGGUUCAAAUCCAGGCUGUAUCACAACCAGCUGGGAUUGGGAGUCCCAUAGGCCGGUGCACAAUUGGCCCAGCAUUGUCUGGGUUUGGCCAGUGUAGGCCAUCAUUGUAAAUAAGAAUUUGUUCUUAACUGGCUUGGCUAGUUAAAUAAAUCUCCACAAGCAGAUGGCCAAAGCAAAAGGUCAAACCCCUCUCUCCCAGUUGGCCUUCUGAGAGCAGCUGGUGCUGGAAAUGGCUGAAUUGGGGGCCCAAAGCAACCUCACAAACAUCACAAUACCCCCAAUCAAGGUGAGUGCCACUAUCCAACACACAAGCCAAAGAAAGAACUGCAAGUAUUGCACAAAACACAGGGGUAAAAAAAUGGUGAAAUGCCUGUUUGCUUUUGUUUCCUGGCAGAGAGGGACUGCUUCAAAGACUAUCACGACGUGCACAAGCUAUGGUGAAAGUGAAAUCUAAUCAUCUACACCUGGGAUGUAAAACCAACACGAAUGCCAUUUGUAAAUAGUUCAGCUCAUUUCUAUUUUCAGUGAGGGACACAAGGCGAGUGUGUAACUAUCAUGACACAAGGCGAGACCCAGAUUCAGACACAGGAGGCAGAUGGUUUGAGUAUUACAAUAUUUAUUAAUCCAAUAGGGGAAGGCAAGAGAAUGGUCGUGGACAGGCAAAACGGUCAAAACCAGUUCAGAGUCCAAAAGGUACCGAAGGGCAGGCAGAAUCAAGGUCAGGGCAGGCAGGAUGAUCAGGCAGGCGGAAAGUAGUCCAGAGUCAGGCUGGGGUCAAAAGAAGACUAUCAAAAAGAGAAUAGCAAAAGGAGUACGGGAAAAACACGCUGGUUGACUUAACUAACAUACAAGACAAACUGGCACAGAGAGACAGGAAACACAGGGAUAAAUACACUGUGGAAAAUAAGCGACACCUGGAGGGGGUGGAGACAAUCACAGGUGAAACAGACCCAGCACCUCUCCUCUGGGCCAUAAUCCUCCCAGUCAACCAGGUACCCCUGCCCCGUGGUCGAACCUUCAGGAGGCGUCUCACCGUAUACGCUGGCUGGCCACCGAUAACCCAGGGGGGAGGGAUGGGCCUGGAGACAGAAGACAAAGGACAGUGAGACACAGGCUUAAUCCUAGACACAUGGAAGCUAGGGUGAAUACGGAGGGUACGGGGUAACACAAGACGGACAGCAGUGGAACUCAGGACUCUGGAGAUGGGAAAAGGACCAAUGAAACGAGGGGACAGUUUGCGGGACUCUACCCGAAGGGGCAGAUCCCGUGUGGACAGCCUUACCCUAUGCCCAAUGUGGUAGUGGGGAGCUGGGGUCCGGCGACGGUCCGCUUGUCGACGAUACCUGGAGUUGGUCUUGAGAAUAGCCGCCCUGGCUCUUCUCCAGGUACGUCGACAUCGGCGGACAAACAUCUGGGCCGAGGGUACACUGACUUUUUGCUCUUGUUCAGGGAAGAGUGGAGGCUGAUACCCCAUGGAGCACUCGAAAUGGGAGAGUCCCGUUGCAGAACUGGGAAGAGCGUUCCGGGCAUACUCCACCCAGACCAGUUGACAGCUCCAGGUAGUGGGGUUGAUUGAGACCAGGCACCUUAAGGUGGUCUCCAGGUCUUGGACUGACCGUUAGCUUGGGGAUGGAAUCCGGAUGACAGGUUGGCCGACGACCCAAUAAGGGUGCAGAAUGCCUUCCAGAACUGAGACGAGAACUGAGGACCCUGAUCAGAGACCAUGUCGACCGUGAGUCCAUGGAUACGGAAGACAUGCUGCACUGUAAGCUGGGCCGUCUCCUUGGCAGCAGGUAGUUUGGGGAGAGGGAUGAAAUGGGCCUUGGAGAACCGGUCGACUACCGUCAGAAUGACAGUGUUGCCAUCAGACGGAGGGAGCCCAGUGACAAAGUCCAGAGAUAUAUGAGACUAGGGACGAUGAGGAACCAGUAGUGGCUGCAGGAGGCCAGAAGGAGCUUGCCGUGGAGUCUUGUUUUGAGCACACACAGUGCAUGCGGUGACGAAGGCAGAGACGUCAGGGACCAUUGUGGGCCACCAGAAAUGUUGUCGAAGGAAGGCUAGUGUACGACGGGACCCUGGAUGACAGGUCAGCCUGGAGGAAUGAGCCCAUUCCAGGACCCGGGACCGGACUGGAUUAGACAAACAGCCGGUUAGCCGGACCCCCUUCAGGUCCAGGCUGGGAGCGUUGUGCAUCGUGGACCAGGUUCUCAAUACCCCAAUCCACAGUGGCAGCAAGGCAUGAGGUAGGGAGAAUGGUUUCAGAGGUUGAGGGUGUGGCAGAGGAACUGUAUAGGCGGGAGAGGGCGUCAGGCUUCACAUUCUUUGACCCUGGGUGGUAGGAGAUGGUGAAGUUAAAUCUGGUGAACAGGAGGGCCCACCGGGCCUGCCUGGGGUUGAGGCACUUGGCUGUA
rnacentral:lncRNA from 8 species